rnacentral:rRNA from 1 species
AACGAACGCUGGCGGCAGGCUUAACACAUGCAAGUCGAACGCCCCGCAAGGGGAGAGGCAGACGGGUGAGUAACGCGUGGGAAUCUACCCAUCUCUGCGGAAUAGCUCUGGGAAACUGGAAUUAAUACCGCAUACGCCCUACGGGGGAAAGAUUUAUCGGGGAUGGAUGAGCCCGCGUUGGAUUAGCUAGUUGGUGGGGUAAAGGCCUACCAAGGCGACGAUCCAUAGCUGGUCUGAGAGGAUGAUCAGCCACAUUGGGACUGAGACACGGCCCAAACUCCUACGGGAGGCAGCAGUGGGGAAUAUUGGACAAUGGGCGCAAGCCUGGUCCAGCCAUGCCGCGUGAGUGAUGAAGGCCUUAGGGUUGUAAAGCUCUUUCACCGAUGAAGAUAAUGACGGUAGUCGGAGAAGAAGCCCCGGCUAACUUCGUGCCAGCCGCCGCCGAA